UACGUAGGAGACGAGCGUUGUCCGGAAUUACUGGGCGUAAAGCGCGUGUAGGCGGAUAGGCAAGUCUGCUGUGAAAGCUCCUGGCUUAACCGGGAGUGGUCGGUGGAAACUGCCUGCCUGGAGGACGGUAGAGGCUGGUGGAAUUCCCGGUGUAGUGGUGAAAUGCGUAGAGAUCGGGAGGAACACCUGUGGCGAAGGCGGCCAGCUGGGCCGGACCUGACGCUGAGACGCGAAGGCGUGGGGAGCGAACGGG
rnacentral:rRNA from 1 species